rnacentral:misc_RNA from 1 species
AGGGAACCGACGCGACUGACGCACGUAAGAAGUAAGAUAGAAAUUUUUUCGCCAUUGUACAAAUUCGAAAUGAUUUUCCGACGGGGGUGUUUGAUACGCGGAAGAUAUUGGAAGUAAACUACACGCGGCUGGGGAUGAGAGAAGAGCGGAUAAGAAGAGGAAGUGCGCUUACUCGAGGCGUCGUAGGGUAGGAGGGGUCUCAGAGCUCCAGCGUGAAAUCGAGUUAAACUUGAAAUUAGACUUGCUUCCUUGAUAUUAUAUAAGAUAUUUGUCUUCGCAGAAUUAAU